rnacentral:rRNA from 1 species
CCUACGUGAGGCAGCAGUGAGGAAUAUUGGUCAAUGGCCGGAAGGCUGCACCAGCCAAGCCGCGUGAGGGAGGAAGGCUCAGAGCGUCGCAGACCUCUUUUGCCGGGGGACAAAAGGCCGGACUCAUCCGGUCCUGAGGGUACCCGGAGAAAAAGCAUCGGCUAACUCCGUGCCAGCAGCCGCGGUAAUACGGAGGAUGCGAUAGUUAUCCGGAUUCAUGGGGUUUAAAGGGUGCGCAGGCGGGCCUUUAAGCCGGCGGUGAAAUCGCGGGGCUACACCCCGCCGAGCGGUCGGAACUGGGGGCCUUGAGUGCGGCGGAGGCAUGCGGAAUGCGCGGGGUAGCGGUGAAAUGCAUAGAUACCGCGCAGAACCCCGAUUGCGAAGGCAGCGUGACGUGCCGCCACUGACGCUGAGGCACGAAAGCGCGGGGAUCGAACAGGAUUAGAGACCCCUGUAGUC